rnacentral:rRNA from 1 species
UAAUACGAAGGGUGCAAGCGUUACUCGGAAUUACUGGGCGUAAAGCGUGCGUAGGCGGUUCGUUAAGUCCGAUGUGAAAGCCCUGGGCUCAACCUGGGAACUGCAUUGGAUACUGGCGAGCUAGAGUGCGGUAGAGGAUGGUGGAAUUCCCGGUGUAGCGGUGAAAUGCGUAGAGAUCGGGAGGAACACCAGUGGCGAAGGCGGCCAUCUGGACCAGCACUGACGCUGAGGCACGAAAGCGUGGGGAGCAAACAGG